rnacentral:sRNA from 1 species
CUGCUCCUGGUCUUGUCAGGUGAGUGUUCACCCCUGUGCAGCCUCCCCGCCAUGGGCUGGAGGGCCUUUGCCAAGGCCACCACAUUGCAGGAGGAGGACAGGGAGCAUUUGUGAUGACAAACAUCAUGGACUAAUGCGGUCAUGAUUUGACAGCAGCUCGUCACCAAGCACUCACUGCAGGCCUGUCCAUGCUAGUGGCACUCCCACACCACGCCUUUAACCUCUGUGGUGAACCCACCAGAAGGCACCGUCACAGCCCCAGCUUAUGAUGGGAAAACUGAGGGCCAGGAAGGUGAAGUGACUCAGAAGUUUGUGGGUCCUUCUGGACAAGUGACUUUACCUCUCUGAGCCUCAGUCUCCCUCUCUGGGAAGUGGGGGUAAUGGCAGUGCCUCCCUCAGCGCCAUUUUGAGGAGUGGGAGUUGAUCCACGUGAGGCCUUCAGCAAGAGCUGCGGCCCGUGGACAUUGGUACCCAGCAGCUGCUGCAAAGAUGACUGUCGGGGCUGAGGGUUACCCGCUGCUGCUUCUGCGCCGUUACCUCCCAUUUCCUCGGCCCAGAGGGUCUGCUCCAGGAACUUUUUGCAGUUCGCUCAGGUCCAAGGCGGUGUGGCUGCCACCCAGUCAGGGCUCCUGUGGCCAAGAUGCCAGAACACCAAGCUGGCCGCUCUCUGGGAGCCGGGCCUGCCCCUCUCAGAGGCAUCCAGGCCAUGCUGCUGCGCCCUGGGCCGUUCCCCGGGUGCCCCGCCCACUGCUACCCUCCCACCUGCAGGUGCGGUCAUGGUGUUCAGCACGAGUGCCUUUGGCGCCUACUUCAAGCUGACCCAGGGUGGCCCUGGCAACUCCUCGCACGUGGCCGUCUCGGCGCCUGUCUCCGCACAGCCUGUUGAUGCCAGCGUGGGGCUGGCCUGGCUGGCCGUGGGCAGCAUGUGCCUCUUCAUCGCCGGCUUUGCGGUGGGCUGGGGGCCCAUCCC